ACUUAAUGAUGAUAACAAAAAGGUUUCGCAUCUGUCUGAUUACAUAAAAUGACGAUAAACCUUGGCUGUCUGAAAAU